rfam:Cyphomyrmex costatus contig12967, whole genome shotgun sequence.
GCCUCGGUAGUCUAAUUGGCUAGGACACUUGCGCGUAAAGUAAGAUAUCCGGGCUCGACUCCCGGCCGAGGUA